CUCAUUUUUUGGCAUAUUGUCCUUUACCAUUAAUGUUUAUUAUUUUAAUAGGUUCAAAUUUCCAUUUUUCUCUAAAGUUAUAGAAUAUGAUAUGUAACAUUUCUUCUAAUUCCUAUAAUAACUUUUCUUCUAAUGUAUAUUUCCUUUCACAUUACUCCUAAUUAGUUUUUAUCUUUUCUUUUCCUACUCUUAAAGCCAAAAUUGUAAGAUCUGUUCAUGAGUCUCAGAUGGGAUGCUUUUGCUCACAGAUUUUAGCAUAGAAAAGGUACCAGUCAAACCCAUAGUACUUAAUCUGGAGAAAGUAGUUAAAUUCUCCUUGAGCCCUCCUCUGCCUGCCGCCUGUUCUCUCUCUCCUUCUCUUCUCUACUCUCUUUUCAUUUUAAUCUAUGGGCUAUAUUUGGGCCCUUUCAUAUUUCUGGACUUCUAUUCCUUUCUUACAAGGAACUCUGGACAGGACUUUUAAAAUCUCUUCUAGCUUUAGGUUACAUGUAUCCAAAUCUGCAGGUAUUUUUGAGAACAUAUUAUUAUCUCUUAAGAAUUAUUUAAUCCCAUCUGAAAGUCAAGAUUGGAUGAAAGAGUCCUGAAAUCUACUUUCUUAUAUAUUUUCCCUGAAUGUGACUAGUUCUCAUAUCAUUUUUG
rnacentral:lncRNA from 1 species